rnacentral:lncRNA from 1 species
UUUGCAUGAGGAAAAAUAUUGUGCUAAUUAAGUUCUCUAGUAUGAAUGUGAUGAUUUUGGGGGAUCAAUUGAUAUGUCUUCUUUUGUUUGAAAUAUGUGAUCUUAUAAGCUUCAAGUUUUUUUCUACCUAGUUUCCCAAAAAUAUCCACCCUUCAAUAAAUCUAAGCCACGCUAUAACCCGAAAAGUCCUCGAAAGGUGCAUAUUCAUUGUAUGUUGAUCGAUUUUUAGAGUCCUUGCAAGCCUAUGGUAGAAAGGUGUAGAUUGUGUUGAUUGAGUGUAUAUCCCUAAACACUUGAGAGAAUUUUGGUGAGAUUGUGUGAAGAGAUAAUUGAGCAUGAUGGAUGAAUGUUGGAUGAAUUUUUGAAUUUUCGAUUGGUUGUUAGUAGAUGAAAGUGACCUUGAGCAUGAUAAUUUUUGUAAAAUGACAUGUUUUAUUCUUAUUGAUUACGGAGAUAGAUUAACAUGAAUGUUUUUGGUUUGGUGUUUGAGGUUGAGUUGCACUCUUUUGAAAGCAUUGUUCCUUGAGGACAAGCAACAUAUUAAGUUUGGGGUUGUGAUGAAUCCUCAUCAGUCGUUAUUUUUAGAGUCUUUUUAAUUAAGUUUUUAAUAUAAUUUUAUUAAUGUAGUGUUUAAUUUAGAGUCAUUUUAAAUAAAUUACAAAUUUUGGUUUAUUGAGUCAAUUAAGUGUUUUUCUCUAUUAAAAUAAUAUUUGGUGUAGUUUCUAUUUUCUUGAUUCAAUUCAAUAGGUUUAUGGUUAAGUGUGGUACAAAUGGUAAAAGAAGAGAAAGACUUUAACAAAACUGGGCCAAUUACAAGAAGAAAACAUGGGCCAUUUGCCUUGACCCAAAACCAAGAAGAAAGGGAAUUAGGUUGGCACUUGAAAAAGGGGAGAGAGACAUCACGUACAAGGAGGCUAGCGAGAGAUUGAAAGAGAAGUGGGAAAUUAGGCAAACACGCAGCAGGACGACGUGACAGAGAGGAGCUAGCUUGGCUUCAAGGAAGGCACGGGAAGAGUGGACAAAUUCAAAGCAAUCCAUUUUUGGUUUAUCCCUUUUAAUCAUCCUUAUUUCUUUGAAUAUUAUGUCUAGCUAAAUUUCCAUGAUUGAUCCUUAGGGGAUUCUAAUUGUUAUUUUUCUUGAACAAUGUGAUUAUCAUAUGAUAUGAUCAAUGAAUUACGAAGUUAGUUUCUUCAAUUAUUUCUUGUGUUUAAUGCUUUGCAUGACUUGAUCAAUUAUGUAAUGAUUUCAAUUAUUUGUUUUACUAUGACGAUAGGAAUGAAUGAUCGAUCUAGGAAUGAUUGAUCAAUUAACUUUCACUUAAGACAUUUCGGAUUGUUAAUUGAGAUUAAAAGAUUAAAGUUUGUAAACCUCAAUUGAUCAUAGAUUACCUAAGACAUUAGGACUCGAUGAUCAAGAGAGAGGAUUAUGUUACCAAGACAUUGGGCAUAAUCAUUUUUGAUUUAAUCUAAUUGUGAAACUGAAUUGAGUAAUUUGUAAUCAUACAUGAAAUUACCAAGAGAAAUAGUAAUUAGAUGAACCAAAAGGAUCAAUCGCUGUUCUUUUAUUACUUGGAAUCCUAAGUUAUUUCUAGUUUAUGAUUAAACUUCAAACCAAAGAAAACCCCCCCUUUUAUUUACGUCUUAAAUACGAUACAAUUGUUUUGUCAAGAUUGAAACAAUCCCUGCGGAUACGAACUUUAUAAAUUUUAUUACUUAACGAUAAAUUAGUACACUUGCUAAUUUGUCAUCAAGUUUUUGGCGCCGUUGCCGGGGAUUGUUGAUUAAUUUUGACAAGGCAAUUUAUUUUACUUAGGAUUUUUUAUUUUUUUCCUUUCUAUUAUUUUCUUUUUAUUCUUGUAUAUAUAAAUUUUCUCUUUAUGUCUACUUUAGUUUUCUUUGCAGCUGAAAAUUUUCUCUGAGUUUUGUAGCAAUGAAAUGGAUUGAUAAUAGAUUGGUUGAUUCCAACGAAAUAAAUAUCAUUUGUUAUCAACUAUG